CACAGAGCCACCGAGACAUCAUUCAGGUAACAUCACAAAGCCUCUAAGGGACUUUACAGGUGACAGAACAGAACCAGAGAGAGAUGCUUUAGGUGACAUCACAGAGCCACAGAGAGACGCUUCAGGUGUCAUCACAGAGCCACAGAGAGGCACUACAGGUGAUAUCACAGAGCCACAUAGAGAACCUUCAGGUGACAUUACAGAGCCACAGAGACACACUUCCUGUGACAUCACAGAGACACAGAGACCAAUUCAGGUGACAUCAAAGAGCCACAGAGACAUCAUUCUGUUGACAUCACAAAGCGACCAAGAUACCAUUCAGGUGACAUCACAGAACCAUAGAGAGACCCUUCUGGUGACUUCACAGAGCCACAGAGAGACCCAACAGUUGACAACCCUUAGCCACAGAGAGACGCUUCAGGUGACAUCACAGAACAACAGAGAUUCCUUUCAGGUGACAUCACAGAGCCACAGAGAGACCCUUCAGUUGACUUCACAGAGCCCCAGAGAGACCCUUCAGGUGUCUUCACACAGCCACAGAGACACUUCAGGUGAUAUCACAGAGCCACAGAGAGACCCUUCUGGUGUCACCACAAAGAUGCAGAGACAUCUUCAGGUGACAUCACAGAACAACAGUGAUACCAUGCAGAUGACAUAACAAUGCCUCCAAGAGACCCUUCAGGUGAAUUCACAGAACAAGAGAGUGAACGUUCUGGUGACAUCACUUAGCGACAGAGCGAUGCGUUAGGUGACAUCACAGAGUCACAGAGACACUUCAGGUGUCAUCACAGAGCCACAGAGAGACACUUAAGGUGACAACACAGAGCCACAGGAGAGACUUCAGGUGACAACACAGAGCAACACAGAGACACUUCAUGUGUCAUCACAGAGCCACAGAGAGACACUUCAGGUGACAACACAGAGCCACAUAGAAACACUUCAGGUGGCUUCACAGAGCCACAGAAGACGCUUCAGGUGUCAUCACAGAGCCACAGAGAGGCACUACAGGUGAUAUCACAGAGCCACAUAGAGAACCUUCAGGUGACAUCACAGAGCCACAGAGACACACUUCCUGUGACAUCACAGAGACACAGAGACCGAUUCAGGUGACAUCAAAGAGCCAAAGAGACAUCAUUCUGUUGACAUCACAAAGCGACCAAGAGACCAUUCAGGUGACAUCACAGAACCAUAGAGAGACCCUUCUGGUGACUUCACAGAGCCACAGAGAGACCCGACACUUGACAACCCUUAGCCACAGAGAGACGCUUCAGGUGACAUCACAGAACAACAAGAAUUCCUUUCAGGUGACAUCACAGAGCCACAGAGAGACCCUUCAGUUGACUUCAAAGAGCCACAGAGAGACCCUUCAUGUGUCUUCACACAGCCACAGAGACACUUCAGGUGACAUCACAGAGCCACAGAGAGACCCUUCUGGUUUCACCACAAAGAUGCAGAGACCCCUUCAGGUGACGUCACAGAACAACAGAGAUACCAUUCAGAUGACAUCACAAAGCCUCCAAGAGACCCUUCAGGUUACAUCACAGAACAAGAGAGUGACCAUUCUGGUGACAUCACUUAGCCACAGAGAGACGCUUCAGGUGACAUCACAGAGACACAGAGACACUUCAGGUGUCAUCACAGAGCCACAGAGAGACGCUUCAGGUGAGAUCACAGAUCAACACAGAGAGAAUUCAGGUGAUAUCACAGAACCACAGAGAUUCCUUUCAGGUGACAACACAGAGCCACAGAGAGACCCUUCAGAUUUCAUCAAUGCCACAGAGAGACACUUCAUGUCUCUUCACAGAGCCAAAGAGAGACCCUUCAGUUGUCAUAACAGAACCCCAGAGAGACACUUCAGGUGACAUCACAGAACCACAGAGAAACACUUCAGGUGUCAUCACAGAGCCACAGAGAGAAUCUUCAUUUGACAUCCCUUAUCCACAGAGUGACACAUCAGGUGACAUCAGAGAACCAACAGAGACACUUCAGGAGUGAUCUUAGAGCCACAGAGAGACACUUCAGGUGUCAUCACAGAGCCAGAGAGACACUUAAGGUGACAUAACAGAGUCACAGAGAUACCAUUCAUGUGACAUCACAGAACCAGAGACAGAUCCUUCUGGUGACAUCACAGAGCCUCAGAGACCUCUUCUGGUGACAUCACAGAGCCACAGAGAGACGCUUCAGGUGUCAACACAGAGACACAGGAUUAAAAUUCAGGUGACAUCACAGAACAACAGAGAGACACUUCAGGUGAUAUCACAGAGCCAUAGAGAGAGUUUCAGGUGACAUCACAGAGCCACAGAGAGACACUGCAGGUAACAAAACAGAGCCACAGAAAUACCAUUCUUGUGACAUCACAGAACCAGAGACAGAUCCUUCUGGUGACAUCACAGAGCAACAGAGAGACGCUUCAGGUGUCAUCAAAGAGACACAGAGAUACGAUUCAGGUGACAUUACAGAGCCACAGAGACACUUCAGGUGAUAUCACAGAGCCAUAGAGAGAUUUUCAGGUGACAUCACAGAGCCACAGAGAGACAUUUCAGGUGACAUAACAGAGCCACAGAAAUACCAUUCUUAUGGCAUCACAGAACCAGAGACAGAUCCUUCUGUUGACAUCACAGAGCCACAGAGACUUCAUUCAGGUAACAUCACAAAGCCUCUAAGAGACUUUACAGGUGACAUAACAGAACCAGAGAGAGAUCCUUCAGGUGACAUCACAGAGCCACAGAGAGAUGCUUCAGGUGUCAUCACAGAGCCAGAGAGACACUUCAGGUGACAUAACAGAGUCACAGAGAUACCAUUUAUGUGACAUCACAGAACCAGAGACAGAUCCUUCUGGUGACAUCACAGAGCCUCAGAGACCUCUUCUGGUGACAUCACAGAGCCACAGAGAGACGCUUCAGGUGUCAACACAGAGACACAGGAUUAAAAUUCAGGUGACAUCACAGAGCCACUGAGAGACACUUCAGGUGAUAUCACAGAGCCAUAGAGAGACUUUCAGGUGACAUCACAGAGCCACAGAGAGACACUGCAGGUAACAAAACAGAGCCACAGAAAUACCAUUCUUGUGACAUCACAGAACCAGAGACAGAUCCUUCUGGUGACAUCACAGAGCAACAGAGAGACGCUUCAGGUGUCAUCAAAGAGACACAGAGAUACAAUUCAGGUGACAUUACAGAGCCACAGAGACACUUCAGCUGACUUCACAGAGCCACAGAGAGAUACUUCAGGUGACAUAACAGAGCCACAGAAAUACCAUUCUUGUGACAUCACAGAACCAGAGACAGAUCCUUCUGUUGACAUCACAUAGCCACAGAGAGACACUUCAGGUGAAAUAACAGAGCCACAGAAAUACCAUUCUUGUGACAUCACAGAACCAGAGACAGAUCCUUCUGUUGACAUCACAGAGCCACAGAGACUUCAUUCAGGUAACAUCACAAAGCCUCUAAGAGACUUUACAGGUGACAUAACAGAACCAGAGAGAGAUCCUUCAGGUGACAUCACAGAGCCACAGAGAGACGCUUCAGGUGUCAUCACAGAACCACAGAGAUACAACUCAGGUGACAUCACAGAGCCACAGAGAGACACUUCAGGUGUCAUCACCGAGCCACAGAGAGACACUUCAUGUGACAUAACAAGCCACAGAAAGACCAUUCAGGUGACAUCAAACACCAGAGAGAGAUCCUUCAGGUGACAUCACAGAGCCACAGAGACCUCUUCUGGUGACAUCACAGAGCCACAGAGACACCAUUCAGGUGACAUCACAAAGCUACAGAGAGACCGAUCAGGUGUCAUCACAAAAUCACAGAGAAAGAAUUCAGUUGACAUCACAGAGCCACAGAGAGACCCUUCAGGUGACAUCACAGAGCCACAAAGAGACACUUCAGGUGAUAUCACAGAGCCAUAGAGAGACUUUCAGGUGACAUCACAGAGCCACAGAGAGACACUUCAGGUGACAAAACAGAUCCACAGAAAUACCAUUCUUGUGACAUCACAGAACCAGAGACAGAUCCUUCUGGUGACAUCACAGAGCCACAGAGAGACACUUCAGGUGUCAUCACAGAGACACAGAGAUACAAUUCAGGUGACAUCACAGAGCCACAGAGAGACACUUCAGGUGAUAUCACAGAGCCAUAGAGAGAAUUUCAGGUGACAUCACAGAGCCACCGAGAGACAAUUCAAUAACAUAACAGAGCCACAGAAAUACCAUUCAUGUGACAUCACAGAACCAGAGACAGAUCCUUCUGGUGACAUCACAGAGCCACAGAGACAUCUUCUGGUGACAUCACAGAGCCACAGAGACAUCAUUCAGGUAACAUCACAAAGCCUCUAAGAGACUUUACAGGUGACAUAACAGAACAAGGGAGAGAUCCUUCAGGUGACAUCACAGACCCCAGAUAGAUGCUUCAGGUGUCAUCACAGAGCUACAGAGAUGCAAUUCAGGUGAAUCACAGAGCCACAGAGAGACACUUCAGGUGUCAUCACAGAGCCACAGAGAGACCUUUCAGGUGUCAUCACAGAGCCACAGUGUGAACCUUCAGGUGCCAUCACAAAGCCACUAAGAGACCCUUCAGUUGACAUCACAGAGCCACAUUGAGACACUUCAGCUGACUUCACAGAGCCUCAGAGAGACUCUUCAGGUGUCAUCACAGAGCCACAGAGAGACACUACAAUUGACAUUAAUGAGCCACAGAGAGAUGCUUCAAGUGACAUCACAGAGCCACAGUGAGACAAUUCAGGAGACACCACAGAGCAACAGAGUUACCCUUCAAGUGACAUCACAGAGCCACAAAGUGACACUUUUUGUGACAUCACAGAACCAGAGACAGAUCCUUCUGUUGACAUCACAGAGCCACAGAGACUUCAUUCAGGUAACAUCACAAAGCCUCUAAGAGACUUUACAGGUGACAUAACAGAACCAGAGAGAGAUCCUUCAGGUGACAUCACAGAGCCACAGAGAGACGCUUCAGGUGUCAUCACAGAACCACAGAGAUACAACUCAGGUGACAUCACAGAGCCACAGAGAGACACUUCAGGUGUCAUCACCGAGCCACAGAGAGACACUUCAUGUGACAUAACAAGCCACAGAAAGACCAUUCAGGUGACAUCAAACACCAGAGAGAGAUCCUUCAGGUGACAUCACAGAGCCACAGAGACCUCUUCUGGUGACAUCACAGAGCCACAGAGACACCAUUCAGGUGACAUCACAAAGCUACAGAGAGACCGAUCAGGUGUCAUCACAAAAUCACAGAGAAAGAAUUCAGUUGACAUCACAGAGCCACAGAGAGACCCUUCAGGUGACAUCACAGAGCCACAGAGCGACACUUCAGGUAUCAUCACAGAGCCAUAGAGACCCCUUCAGGUGUCAUCACAGAGCCAAAGAGUGACCAUUCAUGUGACACCAGAGAUACACAGACAGACCAUUCAGGUGACAUCAAAGAGCCACAGAGAGACCAUUCAGGUGUCAUCACAGAGCCACAGAGAGACCUUUCAAGUGUCAUCACAGAGCCACAGUGUGACCCUUCAGGUGCCAUCACAAAGACACUAAGAGAUCCUUAGGUGACAUCGCAGAGCCACAUUGACACACUUCAGGUGACUUCACAGAGCCUCAGAGAGACUCUUCAGGUGUCAUCACAGAGCCACAGAGGGACACUACAGUUGACAUUAAUGAGCCACAGACAGACGCUUCAAGUAACAUCACAGAGCCACAAAAUGACACUUUUUGUGACAUCACAGAACCAGAGAGAGAUCCUUUGGUGAUAUCACAGAGCAACAGAGACCCCUUCUGGUGACAUUACAGAGCCACAAAUACACCAUUCAGGUGACAUCACAAAGCCAUUAAGAGACCAUUCAGGUGGCAUCACAGAGCCACAGAGAGACCCUUCAGGUGUCUUCACACCGACAAAGAGACACUUCGGGUGACAUCACAGAGCCAUAGAGAGACCCUUCUAGUGUCACCACAAAGAUGCAGGGACCCCUUCAGGUGACAUCACAGAACAACAGAGAUACCAUUCAGAUGACAUCACAAAGCCUCCAAGAGACUCUUCAGGUGACAUCACAGAACAAGAGAGUGACCGUUCUGGUGACAUCACUUAGCCACAGAGAGACGCUUCAGGAGACAUCACAUAGACACAGAGACAUUUCAGGUGUCAUCACAGAGCCACAUGAGAGACCCUUCAGGUCAGAUCACAGAUCAACACAGAGACACUUCAGGUGACAUCACAGAACCACAGAGAUUCCUUUCAGGUGACAACACAGAGCAACAGAGAGAACCUUCAGGAUUCAUCACAGCCACAGAGAGACACUUCAGGUGGUUUCACAGAGCCACAGAGAGAUCCUUCAGUUGUCAUCACAGAACCCCAGAGAGACGCUUCAGGUCCCAUCACAGAACCACAGAGAGACACUUCAUGUGUAAUCACAGAGCCACAGAGAGACCCUUCAUUUGACAUCCAUUAUCCACAGAGAAACACUUCAGGUGACAUCAGAGAACCAACAGAGACACUUCAGGAGUCAUCUCAGAGCCACAGAGACACACUUCAGGUGUCAUCACAGAGCCAGCGAGACACUUCAGGUGACAUGACAGAGCCACAGAGAUACCAUUCAUGUGACAUCACAGAACCAGAGACAGAUCCUUCUGGUGACAUCACAGAGCCACAGAGACCUCUUCUGGUGACAUCACAGAGCCACAGAGAGACGCUUCAGGUGUCAUCAAAGAGACACAGAGAUACUAUUCAGGUGACAUCACAGAGCCACAAAGAGACACUUCAGGUGAUAUCACAGAGCCAUAGAGAGACUUUCAGGUGACAUCACAGAGCCACAGAGAGACACUUCAGGUGACAAAACAGAUCCACAGAAAUACCAUUCUUGUGACAUCACAGAACCAGAGACAGAUCCUUCUGGUGACAUCACAGAGCCACAGAGAGACACUUCAGGUGUCAUCACAGAGACACAGAGAUACAAUUCAGGUGACAUCACAGAGCCACAGAGAGACACUUCAGGUGACAUAACAGAGCCACAGAGAUACCAUUCAUGUGACAUCACAGAACCAGAGACAGAUCCUUCUGGUGACAUCACAGAGCCACAGAGACCUCUUCUGGUGACAUCACAGAGCCACAGAGAGACGCUUCAGGUGUCAUCAAAGAGA
ensembl:lncRNA